rnacentral:rRNA from 1 species
UAGAGUUUGAUCAUGGCUCAGGAUGAACGCUAGCGGCAGGCCUAAUACAUGCAAGUCGAGCGGCAAGUCGAGGAGUAAUCUGAGACCUAGAGCGGCGCACGGGUGCGUAACGCGUAUGCAACCUACCCUUUACCGGGGGAUAGCCCGGGGAAACCCGGAUUAAUACCCCAUAGUAUACAGAGACUGCAUGGUUUUUAUAUUAAAGAUUUAUCGGUAAGGGAUGGGCAUGCGUAGGAUUAGUUAGUUGGCGGGGUAACGGCCCACCAAGACUGUGAUCCUUAGGGGUUCUGAGAGGAAGGUCCCCCACACUGGCACUGAGAUACGGGCCAGACUCCUACGGGAGGCAGCAGUAGGGAAUAUUGGGCAAUGGGCGGGAGCCUGACCCAGCCAUGCCGCGUGCAGGAAGAAGGCGUUAUGCGUUGUAAACUGCUUUUAUACGGGAAGAAAAGGCCCAUGCGUGGGACAUUGCCGGUACCGUAUGAAUAAGCACCGGCUAACUCCGUGCCAGCAGCCGCGGUAAUACGGAGGGUGCAAGCGUUGUCCGGAUUUAUUGGGUUUAAAGGGUGCGUAGGCGGCCCGUUAAGUCAGCGGUGAAAGUCUGUGGCUCAACCAUAGAAGCGCCGUUGAUACUGAUGGGCUUGAGUGCCGUAUGGGUACAUGGAAUUGAUGGUGUAGCGGUGAAAUGCAUAGAUACCAUCAGGAACACCGAUAGCGUAGGCAUUGUACUGUGCGGCAA